GACGAACGCUGGCGGCGUGCUUAACACAUGCAAGUCGAACGGAAAGGCCCUGCUGUUGUGGGGUGCUCGAGUGGCGAACGGGUGAGUAACACGUGAGUAACCUGCCCUGGACUUUGGGAUAACUUCAGGAAACUGGGGCUAAUACCGGAUAGGAGCUCCUGCUGCAUGGUGGGGGUUGGAAAGUUUCGGCGGUGGGGGAUGGUCUCGCGGCUGAUCAGCUUGUUGGUGGGGUAGUGGCAUACCAAGGCUUUGACGGGUAGCCGGCCUGAGAGGGUGAACGGCCCCAUUGGGACUGCGAUACGGCCCAGACUCCUACGGGGGGCAGCAGUGGGGAAUCUUGCCCAAUGGGCGGAAGCCUGAUGCAGCAACGCCGCGUGCGGGAUGACGGCCUUCGGGUUGUAAACCGCUUUCGCCUGUGACGAAGCGUGAGUGACGGUAAUGGGUAAAGAGGCACCGGCUAACUACGUG
rnacentral:rRNA from 1 species